rnacentral:SRP_RNA from 1 species
GCCGGGCGUGGUGGCGGGCGCCUGUAAUCCCAGCUACUCGGGAGGCUGAGGCAGGAGAAUCGCUUGAACCCAGGAGGUAGAGGUUGCAGUGAGCCGAGAUUGCCCCACUGCACUCCAGCCUGGGUGACAGAGUGAGACUUCGUCUCAA